rnacentral:rRNA from 1 species
UGCAGUCGAGCGAGUCUGCCUUGAAGAUCGGAGUGCUUGCACUCUGUGAAACAAGAUACAGGCUAGCGGCGGACGGGUGAGUAACGCGUGGGUAACCUGCCCAAGAGAUCGGGAUAACACCUGGAAACAGAUGCUAAUACCGGAUAACAACAGAUGAUGCCUAUCAACUGUUUAAAAGAUGGUUCUGCUAUCACUCUUGGAUGGACCUGCGGUGCAUUAGCUAGUUGGUAGGGUAACGGCCUACCAAGGCGAUGAUGCAUAGCCGAGUUGAGAGACUGAUCGGCCACAUUGGGACUGAGACACGGCCCAAACUCCUACGGGAGGCAGCAGUAGGGAAUCUUCCACAAUGGACGCAAGUCUGAUGGAGCAACGCCGCGUGAGUGAAGAAGGGUUUCGGCUCGUAAAGCUCUGUUGUUGGUGAAGAAGGACAGGGGUAGUAACCGACCUUUGUUUGACGGUAAUCAAUUAGAAAGUCACGGCUAACUACGUGCCAGCAGCCGCGGUAAUACGUAGGUGGCAAGCGUUGUCCGGAUUUAUUGGGCGUAAAGCGAGUGCAGGCGGCUCGAUAAGUCUGAUGUGAAAGCCUUCGGCUCAACCGGAGAAUUGCAUCAGAAACUGUCGAGCUUGAGUACAGAAGAGGAGAGUGGAACUCCAUGUGUAGCGGUGAAAUGCGUAGAUAUAUGGAAGAACACCGGUGGCGAAGGCGGCUCUCUGGUCUGUUACUGACGCUGAGGCUCGAAAGCAUGGGUAGCGAACAGGAUUAGAUACCCUGGUAGUCCAUGCCGUANACGAUGAGUGCUAAGUGUUGGGAGGUUUCCGCCUCUCAGUGCUGCAGCUAACGCAUUAAGCACUCCGCCUGGGGAGUACGAC